AACAUUGAGCAAUGAUUUGUGUAUUGGAAAAUUUUGAGUUUCGAAUCCCUAAUUAGGGAUUUGUAGUGUCAAUUCCCUAAUUGUGGAUUAUAGAUUAAAAAACUGAAAAUCCCUAAUUAGGGAUUCAAAAUUCAAAACUCUUAAUUAGGGUGUUCGGGCGUCAGAUUUGGGUGAUCUUCUGAUAUCAACGUCAGAGGAUUACGAUUGCCAGAUCUGGUUGCUUUUCUGACAGAUUUCUGCCUAGGUAUAUCGGAAAUCGUUUGAUCUGUUUGGAUCGGAGGCGGAUCCUCGCAGGAGAUCAUGUUUCUUCUCGAUUGGAUCUAUGGAGUUCUUGCCUCGCUUGGUUUGUGGCAGAAGGAGGCCAAGAUCUUGUUUAUAGGGCUUGAUAAUGCCGGAAAGACUACCUUGCUUCAUAUGUUGAAAGACGAGAUGUUGUCUUAAGGCUUAUCAUCCUAAAUGUGUGGGCAAGGAUUCCACAUUCUUGGAGACGGGCGAUCAAUGGACUUGUAAUAGCCAAGAUGACGACGAGAUACCAAAUGUGAAUUCCCUGUUAUUUGAUUUGGAUAUGCUAAGAGUGGCAACAGAUAACUUCUCUAAUGCAAAUAAACUUGGGGAAGGCGGAUUUGGUCUUGUUUACAAGGUAAUGCAUAGAAUGUCUUCAAAGGCAUGCCAUUUUUUUUCUUGAACAAUGUUGUUAUUGAUAGAAUUAGGGACUACAUUAUGAAAAUUGAGGAGAUGGAUUCGAGAAUGUUGUAAAGUAUACCAGAUCGAUGAUGGGUAGAUGUGCGACAACGGUGGAUGACGGCCUAAGACAGAUGCAGAGAUAAACAAAAGAGAUUUAAGGUUAAGGAUUGGAGGCAUUGGACUGAUAUCAUGAUAGAAUUAGAGACUACAUGUUGGAAACUUUAGGUGUAUUUCAUUAUGAACAAUCCAUUAUAUGUACAAGAAGAGAAACUUCAGAGAGAAGCAAUAUUUUAACAGCUAAAUAAUUCAAACUAUCUAAAUCUACACAGCUGUACAUGUCUCUAUCCUCUUAACAGCUACCAGUUUUUGCAGGGUGUGUUUUGAUUCAUCAUUGAAUUAAAUUACAAUUUUUUUUUAUUCUACACAGCUGUACGUGUCUCUAUCCUCUAACAGCUGCCAGUUUUUGCAGGGUAUGCUUUGAUUCAUCAUUGAAUUAAAUUACAACUUUUAUUCUAAUAAAGUGGCCAUCACCAGAUUGUAACAUGUUGAGGGUCUAUAGUACAAUCUUGAUUGGGUUAUUUUCAAGUAAGACUUGAAAGGAAUUUAAAUGCAGUUUGAAGACUACUAUGAUACACCACUAACAUUUGCAGUUCCACUUGAGAUUUGAUUCACUUGUUCAUCAAAACAUGACCUUAUAUUAUAAAGCAUGCACUUUCCUUAAUGUGGUUUUUAAGUUGUCUAUAAAUUAA